GGUUGGUCCGAGUGCAGUGGUGUUUACAGCUAAUUGAUCACAACCAGUUACAGAUUCCUUUGUUCCUUCUCCACUCCCACUGUUUCACUUGACCAGCCUUUA
rnacentral:Y_RNA from 1 species